GACGUGCCGCCGGGAGAGUCGGCGGUCGCCGCGGGCCAGGCUGAGUCCCCGCGCGCCCUCGGAGCCAUGCUGGGGCGCUGCGCCGCGCGCGCGCUCGGGACCCUGCGUGGCCUGCGGGAAGGCGCGCUGCGGGCGAGGAGCCCAGGACCCUCGCGGGUGAGUUCCCGGGGCGGAGAAGUGGGCGCUGUGGCGAGAUGGUCCGUCAAGAAGGCGCCUUGAGCGGUGCAUGUGUUAUCUCAGCCAACUGAUGGCAGAAUCCAAGCCCAGAGGCAUCCGCGUUCGCGGCCGCAGGACCUUUCAGCCCCGAGGUUGAAACCAGGAGAGACCGCGUAGGAAGGUGACGCCGUUUUGAAAGCGUGCAGGACAUUUGACUCUGGUGUAGGUUGCUUUCUUCUGAGAAGGUCUCUGAGAAGGACCAUUCUCUCCCCAAACCCUGCUGGAGCAAGGACAUGCGGCUCCUCUUUGACCAGUUCAUGAAGAAAUGUGAAGAUGGCUCCUGGCUACACUUGCCUUCAUAUGAGGAUAUAGCAACUCAACGGAGUCAAGACUUCUCAACCUUUAUUCAGGCUUAUUUCCCCACAGCCUCCGAGCGGAUAAACAAAGAAAAGCUGUCACAGGGCCAGCUCUUCACCAGAAGCUUUGAGGACGGCCUGGGCUUUGAGUAUGUGAUGUUCUAUAAUGACGCUGAGAAAAGGAUAGUUUGUGUGUUUCAAGGAGGCCCCCACCUGCAGGGAAUGCCUGGAUUUUUUCACGGAGGUGCCAUUGCAACCAUGAUUGAUGCUACUGUUGGUAUGAAUGCGAUUGUAUCUGGGGGAAUUGUCAUGACUGCCAAUCUCAACAUCAAUUUUAAAAGACCUAUCCCCCUUUGUUCUAUUGUUUUGAUAAAUAGCCAACUUGAUAAAAUUGAAGGAAGGAAACUGCUUGUGUCCUGUAAUGUUCAGAGCGUUGAUGAGAAGAUCCUAUACACAGAGGCAACAAAAAUUCAUUUACCCCCUAAGCAUCAGCUAUUUGCAGGAAUGAUGGAUGAAAGAAGCAGGAGGAAGACCAUGAAUAAUUUGAAUCCGUAAUCAAUUUAAAAACUCCAUUCCAGGCUGUGGUUUAUACUUCCUAUCUUAUGAAAUCUUUCAGUAUCCUAAAGGUACCAGAUGGCCUGGUUGUAAUAGUACUUCCUUUCACUUCCCUGACUCUCUCUAAUGAAAGUGGUAAUGAACCAUGAAAUGACCAAGUGGUAGAGGAUCUGGUUACCUAGGGAAGAUAAUACAGUAUUGAUAUCAUCAAAAGUUGAUUCAUAAUUUUGCUGAAAAGUGAGAGAUAGACUGAAGGCUUAUUUAUAAAGCUGAAUCCUGAAAAAGAGUUUCACAUAAAAGAGCUUGUGUUGAAUUCUGCUCCACCUGCUUAAGGCUCUCUGUCCUUCACAAGAGGCUGUGUUCCCCAGUCCUGCUCUGCUCGCCCACUGUGAGCCCAUAUACGGUGAAGCCUGCUGACACUGCCUUUAUGAACAGUCUUCUGAGUGCAACUCCAGGAGCUCCGUUUCCACCUUCUACAUUUCCUAACACAGAAGCACUUCCUAUGAGAGUAUCAGCAAUGUUAGAAUUGCUGUGUCCUUAGAAUAAGUGGCUUUCCUGCAAUUUGAACGGACUCCUUAAGGUGAUAUCUGUAAACUUGAAAAUUCCAGAAAACCAAAUGAAGGAGCAAAUAUGUGCAUGCAUAUUUGCAUGUGUGUCUAAUGUGUGCAUUCAUGAUGUGUAAAUUCCAAAGCUAAUUUUGUUGUAUCUAAAAUCUUUUUGAGCCUGGCCGGCGUGGUUGAGUGUCAACCUAUGAACCAGGAGUCAUAGUUCGAAUCCCAAUCAGGGAACAUGUCCGGGUUGCAGGUUUGAUCCCCAGUGUGGGGCAUUCAGGAGGCAGCCGAUCAAUGAUUCUCUCUUAUCAUUGAUGUUUCUAUUUCCCUCUCCCUUCCUCUCUGAAAUCAAUAAAAAUAUAUUUAAAAAAUAAAAAUAAAAUCUUUUUUUACUAUAGUAGGAAACACAACUAGCUCCUAUAGGAAUAGAUUCCUCAGUGCGGUUCUCUUGGAUUCUAGGGAUAACACCACUGUGCCAUCUUUAACAUAGGCAGUGCAGUUGUGUCUUUCCAACAGCAUAGUUUCUCAUCACUGGAAGGGACCUGGUUUUGUUUCCUGUGUGUCUUAAUCUGUUCAGCUGCUAUAACAAAAUACCACAGACUGGGGAACUUAUAAAGAACAGAAAUUUAAUGCUCAUGGUUCUGGAGGCUGGAAAGUCCAAGAUCAACGCAUCAGCAUGGCCACCUUCUGUUGGGGGCUUGCUUCCAGGUUCAUAGCUGGCACCUUCUCACUGUGUCCUCACAUGGAGGAAGGGGUGGGGCUGGGAUCUCUCUGGAUCCUCUUUUAUAAGGGCACUAAUCCCAUUCAUGAAAGCUCCAUCCUCAUUAGUUAAGAAUCUCCCAAAGGCCCCACCUAUUAGCACCAUCACAUUGGACAUUAGGGUUUCAACAUGAGAAUUUGGGGGCAACACAAACAUUCAGACCAUAGCAUUAGGGCUGCCAUAACAAAGUACCACUAACUGGAUGCUUCAAACAACAGAAACUCAUGGUCUCACAAUUGUGGAGACCAGAAGUCCAAAACCAAGGCGUCAUCGAGGCCAUGCUCUGAAGGCACCAGGGAAGGAGCUAUUCUGAGCCUCUCUUCCAACUGCUGGUAGCCUCAGGCCUCCCUUGGCUUGUAGACACAGCGUGCCUCAUUUUAUGGUGUUUCACGCUAUUGCGCUUUACAGAUACGUUUUUACUCACUGAAGGUUUAUGACAAUCCUGUCUCGAGCAAUUCUCAUAGGCACCAUUUUUCCAACAGCAUUUACUCAGCAUUAGUCUCUGUGUCACUUUUUUUUUUUUUAAUCCUCACCUGAGAAUAUUUUUUCCCAUUGAUUGUUUUAGAGAGAAUGGAGGGGAGGAAGGAGAGGAGAGAGAGAGAGAGAAACAUUGCUGUGAAAGAGACACAUCAAUCCGUUGCCUCCUGCACACGCCCCAACUGGGGCCAGGGAUUGCACCCGCAACCCUUUGUUCCAAGGGCCGACACUCUAACCACUGAGCAAAACUUGCCAGGGCUCUGUGUCACAUUUUGAUAAUUCCCACACCAUUUCAAAAUUUUCCUUGUUAUAUUUUAUAGCAAUCUUUGUGUUACUAUUGUAAUUGCUUUAGGGUGCUGUGAACUCUGGCUAUAGAACAUGGUGAACCUAAUAAAUGUGUGUUCUGACUGCUCCA